rnacentral:tRNA from 1 species
GUGCAGGCUGAUAAAGACGCGCUUAGCACUCCUAACGCGAAGGUCGCAGGUUGGACUCCUGCCCGGGCCACCA